UACAGAGGUCUCAAGCGUUGUUCGGAUUCAUUGGGCGUAAAGGGUGCGUAGGUGGCGCCGUAAGUCGGGUGUGAAAUUUCGGAGCUUAACUCCGAAACUGCAUUCGAUACUGCGGUGCUUGAGGACUGGAGAGGAGACUGGAAUUCAUGGUGUAGCAGUGAAAUGCGUAGAGAUCAUGAGGAAGACCAGUGGCGAAGGCGGGUCUCUGGACAGUUCCUGACACCGAGGCACGAAGGCCAGGGGAGCAAACAGG
rnacentral:rRNA from 1 species